rnacentral:snoRNA from 1 species
UUUUAAAGAUAUUUCUAGAAGUCAUAUACAGAAUGAACUAAGUCACGUACAUCUUUGGUAAAGCCAUUGUGGUGAUAACAGUGGAGCAACCUCAGAAGCUACUGAGGUGCCAUUCUGCCCUGGUACAGAA